rnacentral:lncRNA from 1 species
GGCGGCGCUAAACCUCUGAGCCACCCGGGAACCCCCGGCCCUAGACCUUUUAGCUAUUUGAGUUCGGCGCAAUUUUCAGAGUUUUAUUUUUUGCUCUUUUCUUUCCCACCAAGCUGUCAGCUGUUGUUUGUUUCACAUCUAAGGUACUAGUUGGUGUUACUUUCUUUGUUUUUUAGUAUUGAGUUGCCCUUUUUUUUUUUUUUUUUUUGCAGAGCUAAAUUUAAUAAAAUAAAAUUAACCAUCUUUCAGGUGAAGUAUUCUGUGGCAUUGAAUGUGAUCACUGUAUAACUGCCACCUCUAUCCGGUUCCAAAAUGUUUUCAUCACCCCAGGGGGAAACCUCAAACCCAUUAAGCAAUCAGGGGGCUGGGGUCUCUUCAACGACCCCUAUGCCCUCUUAGUUUCUCCUCUGGGGGGCUGCGACCUUGGGCCCUACAACACCCGCUCCACUGAAGUAGGGCUGGCUAGGUUCUGCGUGCAGGGCCCAGGGUCCCCACUGGUGACAGUCAAGGCCAUGAGGUUAAUCUCACUACCACGUGACAAUGAUUGCUAGCUCCUCAGGGAGCUUCCCACCCCGACACCUCACACUUCUAGAUCAUCGAGGUUCCUUAAUACAUGUGACUUUCAGACGACACGUCAGAGCCCUGCCCAUGACCAUGCGUUCCUCCCACUGCUCACGACAGGCUUCCAGGUGGGAACCUGGGGCUGCGAGGGGCCUCGGCCCCCAACCUGGUCCACAGGUUCCAGACUCCCCCAGCCACAGACUUCUUAGCUACGGACCCUGCCCCGGACAUGCUGCAUCCGUGUCCCCAGGGUAGCACCUGCAAGCCUGUCUUUCUAAAACGUCCAACCAUGCGAUUCUGAGAUGACUAAUACGUGUUUGGAAAUCCUCAGUCCCACAGCUCUUCCUGGCACAGCUUCAUGUUUAAGGACGGAGCGCCGCUGUCCCACGGCGGGAGGCUGACCUGGGGCGUCCACCCCCAGCAUCUGCUAACCUGGGGCGCCCACACCCGGGCAGCUGCUCACCUGUGAAGGCGCCAGCCAUUGCAGCACCUGGAAGGCCAAGCGUGCAAAGCCGGGUGGGCUGUAAGGAGGAGGAGCGGGCACAGGUUGGAGCCCCCAGGGUCUCAUUUCCGUUGCCCUGUCCUCACCUAGGCAUGUGAGGGCGGGGCCGGACCCUACCUGCUUUGCUGGCAGAGUGGAUCCUCCCGUGACGGUGCUGCCGUCGAAGACCCACAUUUCCUGCAGCAGCUCUCUGCACCCUGGCGGCUCCCAGGCUGCCUGGAGCUGCGUGCUCGCCUGGCCAGGCCAGGCGGUCCGGCCGGUCACCCAGCAGCUGGGGGGCUGCGGGCAGCUGAGGUGACCCCCCAGGGCCUCACGUUCUUUGGUCAGAGCAGGCGCACACAGCAGCUGGGUGCAGGGCAGUGUCGGGUCAGGCAACUAUUGCCUUUGUGGUUUCUUGGCUCCCGGCCUGCGAGGAGGCCUGCACACACAGGUCUGGCCUGGCCAGCCUUCUUCGGCCCUGCGUGGACGCCCUUGGGUGGGCCUGUCCCCAGCUCCCACUGGGAGGGGCAACAGCCGUCCAGGAAUCCCGUGGUUCCGACGCCCCGGAGACCAGAGGGCAUCGUGGGGCGCGGGCCUGUGGCUCCCUCAGCGCUCACUCCUGUCUCUCCAGGCGAUCACCCCAUGUUUGCGCAGGUCUCCCCACCGGGCCACCUGCCCGCACAGGCUGACUCCGCUGGGCUGGACGGGGCGGGAGGCUUAGCCCUGGACUACUCUGCAGGGAGACAUUCCUGAAUGUGUUAUCAUUCGUGGGUAAGCUUGUGGCUUGGGCGAAGCGGACUCAAGCAGAGAAAAGAGGAAGAAACGUCUGUCACUCUUCAGAUAAAACUUCCGGUAGCAAGGCUUCCCCGUCCCGGACACUGGUGUGCCGGCCUCGUGCUCCGGCGGCUGCCGUCGAGCCCCCGAGAAGGGCAGUCGGCCCGAGCGCACCCCAGGGAAGGCAGAAAGGACAGGCCAGAGGAGACGAGGUCCUCGGUGGCGUUUGUCACCCACGGAAUCACACACCAGGAAGCUGAACUCCGGGACCUGCCACUGAUAUGAACCAGUAAAUCCUCUUUAUUCAUUAAGCCAGUCAGAGCUGAGAUUUCUAUUCCUUACACCAAACCCUCGGGAAUUAUUCAUCUGCAAGGUGCAUUCCAGUUUCAGAUUGUCAAAGAUCUCGGGUUUGUCUGUGAAUCCCAGUCAUCUCCUUUUUGUUUGUUUGUUAAGAUUUUAUUUAUUUAUUCCUGAGAGACACACACAGAGAGAGAAGUAUGAUGUCAAACUUUUGGAUUUUUGCCAAUCUGAUAGGUUGGAAAUAAAAUAUUUAUAUUAAAUUGCAUUUAAGUGUUGAUUGGGAAUUUUUUCCUAGAGUCUGUAAUCAAUUUAUUCGUAGCCUUUGGUCAUUUAUCUAUCAGGUCGUCUUUUUCUGCUUGAUUUCAGGAGCUCUUUGUAAAAUGGGCGAGCAUGGCAGGACCAAACAAAGUCUCUGCCUUCACAAGGCCAACGACUUCCCAUGAAUGAUCUCUUUCUAUGACUGGUGCUGCUAGAAAGAAUUCUCUUCCUUCAAUACAGAGACUGAGGCCAUGGACAGCAAUGAUUGAUUAUCUUGUCAUUGUGAGCAAUUUUCCGGUUUGACCUACUCUUCCAGGAAAAUAAUCUCUAUUCCUAACAGAAUAAAUCAAUUUCCAAAAAGAGAGGAAUGUGCACUCUUGCGGUUAUUAAAAAUCAUGUUCUCAGAAAUAUUUAAAGAAAUGGGGAAGUGCUUAUGAUGUAUUGUUACAUAAAAAGGCAAGCCACAAAGCACUGUGCACAGCAUAAAACCAGUCGCAUAGGAUAUAUCUAGCCAUUAGCAUAGGAGAAAAAGUGGAAGAUUACACCCCAAAUGUUAAUAGUGGUUACCUCUGAGCACUGAGAUUAUGGAUGAUUUUAAUUUUCUUCUUCAACCUUGCUCUAUUUCUUAAUAUUUUUUUUUUACAAUGAACAUGUAUUGUUCUGAAAAUUGGCAAUACUGGCAAUAUUAUUUUUCAAAAUAAUAAGAUUGAACAAAAUUUAAGCUAAACUUUCUGUCUUGAGGGAACAGGUGCAAAGUAAGUGAUACUAGGGGAAAGUUUAUCCUUUUCAAUCCUGUGAGCUCACUGAUGCUCAGGAUCUAGAUAUUUUCAGUACUCCAGUCACAUUCAGCAAUAAUAAGUUUAUUUGCUAUUUCCCCCAGAGACUGUAAGGUGGGUUUUCUUUUUACGAUUUUAUUUAUUUACUCAUGAGAGACACAGAGAGAGGCAGAGACACGGGCAGAGGAAGAAGCAGGCUCCAUGCAGGGAGCCCGACGUGGGACUGGAUCCCAGGACCCUGGGGUCACGCCCUGAGCCAAAGGCAGACCCUCAACCCCUGAGCCACACAGGUGCCCCAAGGCUGUAAGGUUUAUUUGGAACAGCCAACAUUUUAUAAAUUGUGAAUUGCUGAGGAUCCCCAGCUCAUCUAAAUCAACUCCAUCUCAAUUUCAAAUUUCUAAUCAGGGCCUGGUCAUUUUCCAGGCCCUGAAGCCAGGUACCAUAGACUUGCCCAUCUUCCUCCAUCUUCAUCCCACACAACUGUUCUGAUCACCUAAUGAGUCUUUCUUUGAAAUAUUUCUUGUAGCUAUUUAUUCCUCUGAUGUCCCAGCUACAAUACCCAUCAUGAUUCAGACUACCUGUUGCCUUCAUUAUCACUGCAAUCUUCUCCAUUAGAGAGACAUGUAUUUUGAACAAAACUGCCUAGGUUUAAAUACGGGCUCUACUUCUGCAUGACUUCAGGCAAGUUUCUUAAUUUCUAUAUGCAUUUCUUUCUUCAUCUAUAAAAUGGAGAUAGCAAUAAUUUCUAAUUUAUUUAUUUGUUGUGAAGAAAUACGUGUAAAAGCACUUAGAACGGCAACUGGGCACAUAGUUAAUGAUCAAUAAAUCUUAGCAAUAUCAAUUAUAUUAUCAAUUUAUUUGCAUUUGCUUUGGGCCUCUUGGCUAGGCCAACAAUCUUGAGUUAUAUCAUGUCACUCCUUUGGUUAUAAGCUCCCCCAUAUGAGUUUUGUCCUGGGAGUGGCUGACCAGGUUGUUUGAGACAACAUAUCCAGCUGGGAACAAGUAGAAGUGCUGGACAUCUCAGAAAUAUCUAGUCAGAAUUUUUGAGAGCAAGAUCUGAAAAAGGAAUGCAGUAAAGGUGAAUGACAUUUGAAACUGAUUCCAAAAGUGAAAGCAGUAAAUGAAAAGCUGGAAAGUAUGAGCAGAGGUUUCAGCAACAUAAAAAGGUUUAGAUGGAUAAAAUUAGAGCUCUGAACCUCUGGAAAAAGAGAGCAUCAGUAAAAGUAACCUAUCAUAUAAGAAAACAAGUUUUGACAGAUAGCCAAGAUGGAAAAACAGAUAGAGAUCCACAGAAGAUCUGGAUCAUUUAAAUGAUAAGACAUACACUUUGAACUAUUAUUAAUAUGUUCAUGGGAUUAAAAAAUCAAGGCGAAUAAACAUGGCAAAAGCCCCCGUGAAAAUUAUGUGAAACAAUUACAUGGAUAUUCCAGACCUGAAUGAUAUCCAACAAAUUAAAGUAAAGGCUGAACAGAUAAGUUGAACAGCAGAUUAGACACAGCUAAAGACACAAUAAUGAAUUGGAAUAUAGUGAAGCAGAAAACACACAGACUAAACCACAGAGUUAAAAAAAAAUGAAUAUAGAAAAGAGCAUAAUAAACAUAAGGGACCCAGCAAAAAUAUUUAACUAUAUGUUAUUGGAAAUGGAAGAAAGAGGAAAUUGAGAAGAGGUAUUUGAAGAGAUAUGGCCAAGAAUGUUCCCAAAAUGAUAAAAAUCAUACAGGAUAUGCUUCAAAUUCCAAGCAUGACAAAUACAAAGUAAAGCAUAUUUAAUUACA